rnacentral:tRNA from 2 species
UGAUCUGUAGCUCAAUUGGCAGAGCGCGCGACUGUUAAUCGCGUGGUUGAAGGUUCGAUUCCUUCCAGGUCAGC